UUCGACAAUAGGUUUACUCAACUUCAACAACUAAUUAUGAUCUAACAGCAAUCUAUCGUCAGGUUAGAAGUAUAAAUAGGACAGUUAGCUGAGUCCACCAUGAGGAGAGAAUCAAGUCAAUUAUCGAGCCAACCAAUAGCAAAUUCUAGGAACAACCCAUCCAAUGUCCACCAACUACAUGGACCUAGUCAUCAAUCUAAUGUUCCACUU
rnacentral:lncRNA from 1 species